GGCAAAGUAGUAAAGUUUACGUUUCCUUUACACGGAAAAAAUUCCUUUUAACAGGGCUUUGUUU
rnacentral:tRNA from 1 species